rnacentral:rRNA from 1 species
CUUAGAAUGCAGUCGAACGGAAUCUUCGGAUUCAGUGGCGGACGGGUGAGUAACACUUGAAGAAUCUACUGAGUAGUGGGGGACAGCCCGGCGAAAGUCGGAUUAAUACCGCAUACGCCCUACGGGGGAAAGGCGCAAGCCGCUAUUUAAUGAGCCCGCGUAAGAUUAGCUAGUUGGUAAGGUAAAGGCUUACCAAGGCAACGAUCUUUAGCUGGUCUGAGAGGAUGGCCAGCCACAUCGGGACUGAGACACGGCCCGGACUCCUACGGGAGGCAGCAGUCGGGAAUAUUGGACAAUGGGCGCAAGCCUGAUCCAGCAAUACCGCGUGUGUGAAGAAGGCCUGCGGGUUGUAAAGCACUUUCAGUUGGGAAGAUAAUGACGUUACCAACNUNNNGAGCACCGGCUAACUCCGUGCCAGCAGCCGCGGUAAUACGGAGGGUGCAAGCGUUAAUCGGAAUUACUGGGCGUAAAGCGUGCGUAGGCGGUUUAUUAAGUCAGAUGUGAAAUCCCCGGGCUCAACCUGGGAACUGCAUCUGAUACUGGUAGACUAGAGUGUGGGAGAGGAGAGUGGAAUUUCCGGUGUAGCGGUGAAAUGCAUAGAGAUCGGAAGGAACAUCANUGGCGAAGGCGACUCUCUGGACCAACACUGACGCUGAGGCACGAAAGCGUGGGUAGCAAACANGAUUAGAUACCCUGGUAGUCCACGCCGUAAACGAUGUCAACUAGCCGUCAGGCUCGCUUUANAGUUUGGUGGUGGAGCUAACNUAUUAAGUUGACCNCNUGGGGAGUACNCUCGNNAGANUAAAACUCAAANGAAUUGACGGGGGCCCGCACAGCGGUGGAANCAUGUGGUUUNAUUCNAUGCAAC